UACGUAGGGGGCUAGCGUUGUCCGGAAUUACUGGGCGUAAAGCGCACGUAGGCGGAUAUUUAAGUCAGGGGUGAAAUCCCGGGGCUCAACCCCGGAACUGCCUUUGAUACUGGGUAUCUCGAGUCCGAGAGAGGUGAGUGGAAUUCCGAGUGUAGAGGUGAAAUUCGUAGAUAUUCGGAGGAACACCAGUGGCGAAGGCGGCUCACUGGCUCGGUACUGACGCUGAGGUGCGAAAGCGUGGGGAGCAAACAGG
rnacentral:rRNA from 1 species